rnacentral:rRNA from 1 species
UACGUAGGGGGCAAGCGUUGUCCGGAUUUAUUGGGCGUAAAGAGCGUGUAGGCGGCUAAGCAGGUCCGCUGUGAAAACUCGAGGCUCAACCUCGAGACGUCGGUGGAAACCGUUUGGCUAGAGUCCGGAAGAGGAGAGUGGAAUUCCCGGUGUAGCGGUGAAAUGCGCAGAUAUCAGGAGGAACACCGGUGGCGAAGGCGGGUCUCUGGGCAGUAACUGACGCUGAGGAGCGAAAGCGUGGGGAGCGAACAGG